rnacentral:lncRNA from 1 species
AGGCCACUGUGUUCACGUCACAGUCUACUCACUAUUAUGUCAUCAAUGGACAGUAGAGAAAAUGAGCUCUCCUGGGAGAUGGUAACACAGAUUUCCACCUUCUGAAAGCUACAGAGGAAUACUGGCCAGGUUCUUUCUGCCUGUUCUGGGCAUGCUGUGCUUUUCAGGAGGUGCAAAACGCUGCUGCUUCUGACAGCAGGGAGAAGUGGCACCUUCAGCUCUGGAAUACAACUACGCAUCUUUUUGACGUGAGAGAAAAGCUGAAGCAUAGGGUGAAUCCUUUGGGAGGAAUAAAAAAGCCCUCAACCUGCAUCAACAUCAGCUCCUGCAAUUCCUUUCGAAUCAGGCAAGACACACUGAGGGGCACCUGCUAGCACAAACACUGCCUGCCACACGCAGGAAGGCACCCGCUUGCCCUCUGAACAUCUCAGCCCUGCUGCUGCUGCAGGGAUGCUGGCUGGAUAUGGCUCACGCACCGCUUCCGAAGGGUGAUGUUUGCCAGGGACGACUGCCCAAACUCAUCCCAUCUGCUUUUAAGUACCAAAAGGAGCUGCUUCAAUUAGGCAAAUCUUCC